GUGUUCACUUCUGUGGCGUGUAUACUAAAACAGGAACAAUACAGAGAAGAUCAGCAUGCCUCCUGCACCAGGAUGGCACCCAAAUUCGUGAAGCGUUCCAUGCUUUU
rnacentral:snRNA from 1 species